AGCUGGUGGAGGGAAAGUGCCUGUCUAGUAAACAGGAGAUCCUGGGUUCAAAUCCCAG
rnacentral:tRNA from 1 species